GUUUACACGUACUUGUAUCAUUUAGCUGCCAGUUGUCGUCGGCGUGCACUUCUCCCCUAGUAGGACGUCGCGACCCGUUGGGUGUCGGUCUACGGCCCGGUUGGGAGCCUUUAAUGCCGCCUAAUAAGCGUCGCAUUGAAGACCGGCUGGUGUUCGCCUGGCCGGCUGCCCGGCGGUAUUCGCACGGUAUUGAGCCGCAAAUAAAUAUUAUUUACGUCUGGCCCGCCGCAAGCGAGGCCAGGUUGUCAUUAUUAUAUCCCGGUAGUCACGGACCUUAGUGCCGUCGCUGGGCCUGGCCAGCUGUUAGCUGUUCGCGGUGUUCUCGGACUGGCUCAUUAAUUAUUAUUUACCGGUCGGCGACGCUACUGCUUUGGGUAUCAGGACCCGUCUUGAAACACGGACCAAGGAGUCUAACAUGUGCGCGAGUCAUUGGGAUUUAUUUUUUUAAAAUUAAACCUAAAGGCGCAAUGAAAGUGAAGGUCGUCCUCGCGUCGACCGAGGGCAGAUGGGCCGUAUUACGAUGCGGCUCCGCACUCCCGGGGCGUCUCG
rnacentral:rRNA from 1 species